AGUGAACGCUGGCGGUAGGCCUAACACAUGCAAGUCGAACGGCAGCACAAUAAGAGCUUGCUCUUACGGGUGGCGAGUGGCGGACGGGUGAGGCAUGCAUCGGCAUCUACUUUUUCGUGGGGGAUAACGUAGGGACACUUACGCUAAUACCGCAUACGACCUACGGGAUAAAGCAGUGGAUAUUCGGACCUUGCGCGAUUCAAUUAGCCGAUGUCGGAUUAGCUAGUUGGCGGGGUAAAGGCCCACCAAGGCGACGAUGCGUAGCUGGUCUGAGAGGAUGAUCAGCCACACUGGAACUGAGACACGGUCCAGACUCCUACGGGAGGCAGCAGUGGGGAAUAUUGGACAAUGGGCGCAAGCCUGAUCCAGCCAUACCGCGUGAGUGAAGAAGGCCUUCGGGUUGUAAAGCCCUGUUGUUAGGAAAGAAAAGCAGCAGGUUAAUACACCGCUGUUCUGACGGUACCCAAAGAAUAAGCACCGGCUAACUUCGUG
rnacentral:rRNA from 1 species